rnacentral:rRNA from 1 species
UCUUCCCGUAAGGGGUGACUGCGGAAGGAUCAUUA